rnacentral:rRNA from 1 species
UACGUAGGGGGCGAGCGUUGUCCGGAUUCAUUGGGCGUAAAGCGCGCGCAGGCGGUGCGCGGAGCCCGGCGUGAAAGCCCCCGGCUCAACCGGGGGAGGCCGUCGGGGACCCGCGCGCUGGAGGCCGGCAGGGGCGAGCGGAAUUCCCGGUGUAGUGGUGGAAUGCGUAGAGAUCGGGAGGAACACCGGUGGCGAAGGCGGCUCGCUGGGCCGGUCCUGACGCUCAGGCGCGACAGCGUGGGGAGCGAUCCGGAUUAGAAACCCCCGUAGUCC